AUGAAGCCCUCCAAGAUCCUGGAUGAAAUUACAUUCACCUCUGUUCUCCAAGAUAGAAUCAUCUACCCCAGUUAAAAAGAAGCUGAGAUGUUGAACUCUCAGCUCCUCCAGCAUCAUGCCUGCCUGGACACUGCCGUGCUUCCCACCAUAAUGGUAACAGACUGAACUUCUGACCCCAUAAAGCAGCCCCAAUUAAAUGUUGUCUUUUGUAA